CCACAAGCACACAGGAAGAAGAAAAUUACUCAUAUAUGGUGCAAACCAAAACUAGUACAUUUGUGCAAAGAUGAUGAAAUUCAUAAAACUUUCAUAGAUAUCAUUUUAAGACAGAGGUACAUAGUAAUGGAACACAUACAAAAUACACAUUAGGAUCUACCAGCCAGUGUCUUAAGCAGAUUUAUCGUACUGAGUGUUUCUCCUUGCACAUUCCAAGAUUGUCUUGUCAGCAGUAAUGAAGUAUGCAGCAAUUGAAGCAGCAGAUAUGAUGAGUGCUUGAGCAGUAUAAUUGAGAUUUGCCUUUGCCCAAGGAAUUGUCCGCACAGCAACCAACGUAGGAAUAGCACUAGCAACACAAGCAACUGCGGCUGCUUUAGUUCCUGCACGGACACCCUCUUGAGUACAUUCCCUAGACUUGCGAAUUCUGUCCUCUUCAUAUGCAGAAGCAAUCAACAAAGAUUCCCUUCGCUUUGCCCAUGAAUCCUCCCUUGUCAUCUCUGAUGAAAUUCCCAUUUCUCUUUGUUGUUAAUUUAAGAUGAAUCUGUAUCAGAAAAAAACCCAAACUUUUAAAAGAGGAAGUCAGCACUCAGCAGAGAGAUGGAUCAAGAAAAUGACCUGGGGUUGCAGAUUUAGUUGUUUUGGUGGUGGGGAGAAAGCAAAAAGGAAUACUGAUAUACUGCUGCAGUUGAGGGCGGCGAAUUGAAUAAAGAAAUGCAGUCAGCACACAGAGAUGGCAGCAGUUUUGGCUGCU
rnacentral:misc_RNA from 1 species